UAUUAUUUUAGUCUUGUUUGU
rnacentral:piRNA from 1 species